UACGUAGGGGCCGAGCGUUGUCCGGAGUUAUUGGGCGUAAAGCGCGCGCAGGCGGCCUCGCGCGCCCGACGUGAAAGCCCCCGGCUUAACCGGGGAGGGUCGUUGGGGACGGCGGGGCUUGAGGGCGGGAGAGGUCGGUGGAAUUCCCGGUGUAGUGGUGAAAUGCGUAGAGAUCGGGAGGAACACCAGUGGCGAAGGCGGGUCUCUGGGCCGAUACUGACGCUGAGGAGCGAAAGCGUGGGGAGCGAACAGG
rnacentral:rRNA from 1 species